GUAGGUGGCAAGCGUUGUCCGGAAUUAUUGGGCGUAAAGCGCGCGCAGGCGGUCCUUUAAGUCUGAUGUGAAAGCCCACGGCUCAACCGUGGAGGGUCAUUGGAAACUGGGGGACUUGAGUACAGAAGAGGAAAGCGGAAUUCCAAGUGUAGCGGUGAAGUGCGUAGAGAUUUGGAGGAACACCAGUGGCGAAGGCGGCUUUCUGGUCUGUAACUGACGCUGAGGCGCGAAAGCGUGGGGAGCAAACAGGAUUAGAUACCCUGGUAGUCCACGCCGUAAACGAUGAGUGCUAAGUGUUAGGGGGUUUCCCGCCCCCCUUAGUGCUGCAGCUAACGCAUUAAGCACUCCGCCUGGGGAGUACGGCCGCAAGGCUG
rnacentral:rRNA from 1 species